UGUAGUUUGGUGUUAUUGGCAUUUUGCGUUUUGGUCGUAGAGGUACUUGUUGUUAGCUACAG
rnacentral:tRNA from 1 species